rnacentral:rRNA from 1 species
AUUGAACGCUGGCGGCAGGCCUAACACAUGCAAGUCGAACGAGUGGCGGACGGGUGAGUAAUGUCUGGGAAACUGCCUGAUGGAGGGGGAUAACUACUGGAAACGGUAGCUAAUACCGCAUACCAUCGGAUGUGCCCAGAUGGGAUUAGCUAGUAGGUGGGGUAAAGGCUCACCUGGGCGACGAUCCCUAGCUGGUAUGAGAGGAUGACCAGCGACACUGGAAAGGAGACACGGUCCUGACUCGGAAGGGAGGCAGCAGAGGGGAAUAGUGCACAAUGGGCGCAAGCCUGAUGCAGCCAUGCCGCGUGUAUGAAGAAGGGCGGCGGGUUGUAAAGUACUUUCAGCGGGGAGGCGUUACCCGCAGAAGUAGCACCGGCUAACUCCGUGCCAGCAGCCGCGGUAAUAC